rnacentral:rRNA from 1 species
GUCUAUGGCCACAGCACCCUCACUGUGACCAGAUCUCGUCUAAUCUUGGAAGCUAAGCAAGGAUGGGCCUGGUUGGUACUUGGAUGGGAAAAUAUAAAACAUUUUUUAAUGCUACAGACU